rnacentral:tRNA from 1 species
CGGGGUGUGGCGCAGCUUGGUAGCGCAUCUGGUUUGGGACCAGAGGGUCGAAGGUUCGAAUCCUUUCGCCCCGA